UACAGAGGCCUCAAGCGUUAGGCGGAAUCACUGGGCUUAAAGCGUGUGUAGGCGGACUUCUAAGUACCUUGUGAAAUCCCACGGCUUAACUGUGGAACUGCUUGGUAUACUGGUUGUCUUGAGCCACUCAGGGGCGAGCGGAACAAAUGGUGGAGCGGUGAAAUGCGUAGAUAUCAUUUGGAACGCCAAUGGUGAAAACAGCUCGCUGGGGGUGUGCUGACGCUGAGACACAAAGCCAGGGGAGCGAACGGG
rnacentral:rRNA from 1 species